GACGAACGCUGGCGGCGUGCUUAACACAUGCAAGUCGAACGCUGAAGACCUGGCUUUUGUUGGGUUGGAUGAGUGGCGAACGGGUGAGUAACACGUGAGUAACCUGCCCUCUUCUUUGGGAUAACGCCCGGAAACGGGUGCUAAUACUGGAUAUUCACUGAUCUUCGCAUGGGGGUUGGUGGAAAGGUUUGUUCUGGUGGGGGAUGGGCUCGCGGCCUAUCAGCUUGUUGGUGGGGUGAUGGCCUACCAAGGCUUUGACGGGUAGCCGGCCUGAGAGGGUGACCGGUCACAUUGGGACUGAGAUACGGCCCAGACUGCUACGGGAGGCAGCAGUGGGGAAUAUUGCACAAUGGGCGAAAGCCUGAUGCAGCGACGCCGCGUGAGGGAUGGAGGCCUUCGGGUUGUAAACCUCUUUCGCUCAUGGUCAAGCCGCAACUGUGGGUUGUGGUGAGGGUAGUGGGUAAAGAAGCGCCGGCUAACUACGUG
rnacentral:rRNA from 1 species